rnacentral:lncRNA from 1 species
UAGAUAUCACAAACCCAGUAUUUAUAAAUGUAAAUGUAUGUCUGUAUAUACAUAUGUACACAUGUCAUAUGUAUGCAAAUACCACCAAAUCUUUUUUGUGUGUAUAUGUAUGUAUUAUAUACAUGAAGAUAUACACAUUCACAUUCUUCCUUCCUUCCUUCCUCCCUCCCUCCCUCCCUCUCUCCCCCCUCUCUCUCUUUCUCUCUUUCUUUCUUUCUCUCUUUCUCUCUUUCUUUCUUUCUUUCUUUCUUUCUUUCUUUCUUUCUUUCUUUCUUUCUUUCUUUCUUUCUUUCUUUCUUUCUUUCUUUCUUUCUUUCUUUCUUUCUUUCUUUCUUUCUUUCUUUCUUUCUCUCUCUCUCUCUCUCUCUCUCCUCUUUCUCUCUCUCUCUCUCUUUCUUUCUUUCUUUCUUUCUUUCUUUCUUUCUUUCUUUCUUUCUUUCUUUCUUUCUUUCUUUCUUUCUUUCUUUCUUUCUUUCUUUCUUUCUUUCUUUCUUUCUUUCUUUCUUUCUUUCUUUCUUUCUUUCUUUCUUUCUUUCUUCCUUUCUUCCUUUCUUCCUUUCUUCCUUUCUUCCUUUCUUCCUCUGGAGUAAAGAAAUCUUAGCUGUAGUAGAGGACCUUUAUUC